AUACAAAGUGUGGUUUUUUCACAAAACUACAUAAACCCAAAAUGUCGAACUGUAUCGGAAACGUUGGGGUUUUUUUGGCUAAGUUUCCCUGACGUUUCUUUGUUUUUAUUCAAAAUUUAGCUAUUUUCUUUAACCCAAUUUCACCUCGAUAUUCAUUUGUAUGAACUUAAAUGUUUUUUGAUCCGAAAGGAUUGAAAAAAAUCAUACGAAACUUAAGAA
rnacentral:misc_RNA from 1 species